GACGUAGGAGGCGAGCGUUGUCCGGAUUCAUUGGGCGUAAAGGGCGCGUAGGCGGCCUACUAAGUCAGACGUGAAAUCCCCCGGCUUAACCUGGGAACUGCGUCUGAUACUGGAAGGCUUGAGGAUGGGAGAGGGAUGUAGAAUUCCAGGUGUAGCGGUGAAAUGCGUAGAUAUCUGGAGGAAUACCGGUGGCGAAGGCGGCAUCCUGGACCAUUACUGACGCUGAGGCGCGAAAGCUAGGGGAGCAAACGGG
rnacentral:rRNA from 1 species